GGGGGGGCCCGGCCGUGGAAGAUGGCGGAAGCUGGGGAUUUUUGGUAGAUUCUAAUUUAGGACAAGAUGAAGUUCUUCUGAAAACUGUUAUCUACUGUAAUUGUUAGAAGUUAUUGAACUUAUGAAACUAUGGCAGAGAGAGAGACGGCAUCAUCUGUGCCCCCAAAGUGUGGGCCGUAUAUUUCUUCUGUCACUAGUCGAAGUAUGAACUUGGUGAUUCGUGGAGUAGUUCUGUUUUUGAUUGGAGUGUUUCUUGCAUUAGUAUUAAAUCUGCUUCAGAUUCAGAGAAAUGUCACACUUUUUCCACCUGAUGUGAUUGCAAGCAUCUUUUCUUCAGCAUGGUGGGUACCACCAUGCUGUGGCACAGCUUCAGCUGUGAUUGGGUUAUUAUACCCCUGCAUUGACAGGCAUCUGGGAGAGCCGCAUAAAUUUAAAAGAGAGUGGUCCAGUGUAAUGCGAUGUGUAGCAGUCUUUGUUGGUAUAAAUCAUGCCAGUGCUAAAGUAGAUUUUGACAACAAUAUACAGUUGUCUCUCACUCUAGCUGCACUAUCCAUUGGUCUGUGGUGGACUUUUGAUAGAUCACGAAGUGGUUUUGGCCUUGGAGUAGGAAUUGCUUUCUUGGCAACCUUGGUCACUCAACUACUAGUCUAUAAUGGGGUUUAUCAAUAUACGUCUCCAGAUUUUCUUUAUGUUCGUUCUUGGUUACCAUGCAUAUUUUUUGCUGGUGGCAUAACGAUGGGAAACAUUGGUCGACAACUAGCUAUGACUAAGCUAUUCCUUUAAAUCCUGUGGUGGGAGAUUCCUGCUGUGGAGAUUCCUACUGAGAGACUUCUGCUAAUGAAUUUGUUGACUCUCCAUUAAUAAGGAGAGCAUAAAUGUUUUUCUUCCUCUCUCCCACCCCAACACUAACUUCAGGUUAACGUGAUGUGGAAAUUUCAUGUUUGGAUUAAUUUCACAAAUGAACUGACGGAUACAAAUGACCUACUGAAAACUAUGGAAAUAGUAGUGUGUUAGUCAUAUUGGAUUUGAAGAUAUGUUUUUGUUCUUAGCCUGAGUUAUAUUUAAUCUCUUGAAGAAUAUGAAACAAUAUAAUUAGGCUAACAAAAACUGAAAAGAGCAGAACAUCCAUUGAAUUUUUUAAAAACUAGAUUUUGGGAUAAAAUAAGCUUUCAUAGUUGAAGCAACUGUGACUUUGCUCUAUGAGAGACAGCAGAUGAAAGAAAUUAAAUGGAAUGAAACUUGGCAGAGUUACUCUAAACAAUUUUAAUUAUAAUUUUUUGAAUGACUAAGGGAAUAUUAUUUUAAAAUUGCUGUAUAAAAUAGUAUUUUAUUACAUGCAUCAUUUCAUUCUGCUUUUCCCCUUGACAUCACCAUGAAAUUUGUACUGGUUGUUUUGUUAGGGCUUGUAAACACAUAUCAGCAUAUUUUUGACAUCCUCUCAAUGCUAGAUAACAUCUUUGGAGGAAGUCAUAUCUGAACCUUUAGAAAGAAAAUAUGAAAAUAGAUGAUUGCAAGCCAAUGUCAAUGAUCAAAGGUACACAAGUAGAGAAAGAAAUCUUGGUGAGAAUGCCACUUGGGCAAAACUAUAGAUGAAGACAGACAUUUUUGAGGUGAUGAAAGAAAGUAGGAAGUAAGUUCAUUUAAGAGUAUAUGUAUGCUACAAUUGGAAGAGAAAGAGGAAAGAACAUAAGCUCAUAGAAUCAUAGAUUUAUAGCUAGAAAGGACCUUAGAGGCAUUCAGUUCAACCCUUUGUUUUACACAUAAAGUAACUGAAGAUGAGAGAGAUUAAGUGACUUGAUCAUGGUUACACAGUCUGUAAGUAUCUGAGGCAAAAUUUGAACUCAGGUCUUCUGACUCCCAAGCCCAGGACUCUAAUCACAAGGGAUUGUAGGGAACAGAAAGAAGCAUGGUAUGUGAUAUAGAAUUUAAAAGAGAUGAAUAAAAGCAGCAACUAAACCUGAGGUUAAAAUGAAAUUAUAACAGACUUACCCAAUGCAUUUUGUGACUUUCUUCAGUAGGAUUGCAAAAGAUAAUGAGAGUCACCCAGUUUGAAAGCUGGCCCAGUAGAAAUGAUGAAAUGUUAAGGGGAAGGGAUUCAAAGAUCAAUGAAUGACUGACAUAGUUGACCAUGAUUUCAGAACUGUGUAAAAAACCCAGAAAAGUGGGGAUGAACUUGGAGAAUAAUAGGUGAGGGUUAUUCACCUGAGGUCCUGCGCUCAAGGCCGAAGUAAGGGAAUGGGAAAGAUACACAAGGAUAGAAUUAUGGUAGAAUGAAGAAUUUCAGAAUAAAAGAAUUUGAGUAUUAUGACAGAAAAUUGUUAAUACCAAGUGUAAUAUGUACUGCUACUCCCUAAAAUGAUCCUUGUUAAAUCAGAAUUUCAGUAAUAUCCUUACAUUCCUGCUCUUAAGAUAUUUACUCCUGAUUAAGUUGAGCCAAAUCAUACCUGCUAUAUUUCUCCCUGCUUCUUAACCUUCCCACCCAUCCCCCACCAUUCACCCCCUGUGGGGAUCCCAGCUCAGCUGGAUUUCAGUUCCUGAUAUUCUUUUCAUUUUCUAUUGGGAUUCAUGACAUGAAGUGCAAAACAGCCAGAAUGAAAUGUCUUUCCUUGUUCCAAUUACCAAGGCCACUGAGAUCUCAUGACCAGAACUUGCUACCUCACCUUUCACCUCACCUUCUCCUAAAAGUAUAAAAAGUUUUUUAUGGAUUUCUUUGGUUGGGAAAUACACUGGACAUCCCUGGGAGAGGGGGUGAGAUAGCAGGUCAGUACUUUGUUAUCUCAAUUAAGGACAUUUUAUUCCUCAACUUAUAGCUUUGAUUUAUUUCAGAAUUUGGCAAUUCCUAAAACACAGUUCUGACCCUUCUGCUUCUUCCUCUCCAUUAAAAAAGUUCCUUAUUCCUAGGGUCAAAUAUAAAUUACUCUGUUUGCCAUUUAGAUUUCUUUCCUAAAUUGGUUUGGACGUAGUAGUUUUGUGUGGUGGUGAAUUCCAUUCUCACAUCCUCUUCAGGUAUACUCUCAAGCAGAAAUCUGAAACAGAAAGGAGAGACAUUCAUUACUUCUUAAGAUUCUUACUGGUUUUAAUUUUUGAAGUUUUUUAGGCUUAGUCUAAUGUUCUAAGUAAAAUUAUAAAAUGAUAUAAAUUUGUAAAGCCCUUUGUAAACUUUAAAGUGCUAUAUACAUAUUUUCAGUCUCAAACUUAUCACUAAACUUCUAAUGGCAGCAAUGGCUUCAAUUACUUCUUAAGUACUCUUUGCUAUGUUCUACACACUGUACUUAAGCUCUGGAGAUACAAACAAAAAGAGAGAUAGACCCAAUUCUCAGCGAUGUUAGAUUCUAAUAAAAGACAAUACACAAAAGGGAAUUGAAAAGCAGGUGGUGGGGGAGGGAGCAGAGAGGGAAAAAAUUACUUGCAUGGGGUCGGGCAAAGUCCAAAUGAUCUAAAAGUAGGCAGGAAGAAUAAUAAUAAAUGCAUUGGGUUGUCCUUAAUAUGAAAUCCUUUGGAGGAACUCUCCAAUGGGAAAAGUGGGCCUGCCAAGGAAAAAGAUAUUCCAGGAUGAGAAGAUUCCAGGCACUGAGGUAAGCUUCCUUUUUUUUAAUAUAGCUUUUUAUA